rnacentral:rRNA from 1 species
CUAAGUAUAACUCAAUUUAUAUGAGAAGACUGCGAAUAUCUCCUUAAAUCAGCAAUCGUUUCUUUGAUCAUAACUGAAGAAUUACCUUUGGUAUAAUUGGAUAACUGCGGUAAUUCUGGAGCUAAUACAUGCGAAAAAGGAGUGUGUUCGUCGCAAGGCGGGUGCAUUUCUGUAUUUAUUAGAUUUACAAAACCAAUAUAGUCGGUCGGUCAUUCCAAACGCAAGCAAUUGCGGAUCGGCCGGCGCUUAAAAAAAACUUUGGUGAUUCAUGAUAACUCUUAUCGGAUCGUGAGCGCAGCGAUGCGCGACGACGUUUUCAUUCAAAUUUCUGAUUUUAUCAACUAUCGUAGUUAGUGUAGUGAACCUAACUAGGUUUACGACGAAUACGGGGGAAUUAGAGUUUGGUUCGGUAGAAUCCGCCUGAGAAACGGCGAAUACAUCCAAGGAUGGCAGCAGGUGCGCAAAUUGCCAAUCCUGACACGGG